rnacentral:lncRNA from 1 species
UCACCCAGUUCAGCUCACACUCAGGUCUCAGUAUGGGGAGACUGAGCUCCACUCUCUGAUGGAAGGCGUACCAGGAGUGUGGGGCCCUGUGGAAACCAUCCCAGUACUGUUUAAGUAUUUGGAGGAGUUGCUUGGGGCUAUGUGUUUUCUUUCUACCUCUAUCUCCACUCUGAACUCUUGAGACAGAACAUUGAUUUGGGAUGUUUGCAGCUCUUCUUGGGGGGUACAUGGAUGUGUGUGAUGUGUGCUGACUUAAGCUGAGGGGACCCACCAUAUGAUUGCGUAUGGAAGUUGGAGCCCCCUCUUCAUCAUGGAAUUUGGGGCAUCCCUGGUCUCCUGGUGGCUGUGGACUUGCAAAUACCCAGUUGUCCACAGACCUGUUGGCAAAUGGAUGUCCCAAGCGAGGGAGAUAUGCCUGGUGGGAAGGAGGAGUCCUGUGAAGAAUAGAGCCAGCUAAACACAGCAGAGAAGCAACAGAUGACAAAAAGCAACUGUCCAGAAGGCUGGCAGAACUGGGUUUGGGCCCAUGCUACGCAAUCCAGACAUGCCUGUAGCAUCCUUUGAAGGGACUCAAGUCUGUAGGCGAAAGUGUGAGUCUAGGAGCCGGUGAAUUUGCAUCCAGAGAGGGGGGGAUCUUGGGAAACAUGGAGAUACCCCCAUUUCUACACAUUUCAGUGUAGCUAAUUCAAGAUUGAAAAAGUAAGAAUGAAGUAUAUCUGAUUUUUCCAGUAAAAAAAAAAAAACCAUCAUAGCAUGUCAUCUGAAACUGCUGCUACUACAGAGAGAUUAGCAGGAUCUCAAAGUUAGUUAAGAUUGGUGGAGGGUCUCUUUACUUACGACCACAAAGCUAUUUAAAUGCAUAUGUUCAUGACAUACAGAAAGGUUAUUUGGAACUGGUUUCAGUUGAAGGACGGCUUUUUACCUAACAGUUUAGACUCAAUAUUGUCACCUCACUCCCUUUUCUCUCUCUUCCCCAGUCUUCCUCCAUCUCUUUUCUCAUUUUCUCUGUAUUUUUCUUUCUUUCUCAGUACUCUGUCUCAUAAAAUUGUUCAAUACUUUUCCUGGAUUAUUUAAGAAGUUAAUAAAAACUCUCUGUCUUCCCUUUAGUUAUUCAAAGGCUUCUAUUAAAUCGUUGAAGGAAAUAAAAAGAAAACUGACAAUAAUAAAAAUUGAACAUGGUAAAGUUUGCUGUUGGCUAAAAACAAGCAGAAGAAUCAAAUUUCAAAACAAUUUUAAAGCUUCCCAGGUUACCUGAAGGAAAAUAGGGCUGCCUCUUCAAAAAUUAUGGUUGCACAGAGCAUCCAUGAUGCAGAAGCUCUAAUCAGUAAAACUCGAUAUGGGCAAAAAGUGAAUCAAUGAAUUCAACUUUUGACAAAUAUUUAAAUGGAAAAAAUCAAAUAGAAUAAUUUCAUAAAAACAUGUUUUCUAAAAUGGUACACAAAGUUUAGAAAUGAAUUAAAUUGCCUUGAUGGAAUUCAUUUUCUCUAUGCAAAUUUGUCAAUCUUGCCAAAAAUUUGACUAAAAUGUGCUUACAUAGAAGGAAUGUUUAUGAGUACAGAAACCCUGAGAAGUUAUAGUCACAGGAAUUGCAAUACUUUUCUCUUCUUGCACUAUACACACACACACAAACACACACACAGAAGUCGUUUUGUGAAAAUGGAAUUAAAUCAAUGAGGGUGACACAAUACCUCCUUUGCAUUUCAAGUAAGGGACUUCUCCCCAUUAAUGGUAGGCUAGUAUUGUAGGCUAAAUUGUGUCUUCUCAACAUUUAUAUGUUGAAGAUGUAACCCCCACUAUCUCCAAAUGUGAGUGUAUUUAGAGAUAGGGUCUUUAAAGAGGUAAUUAAGUUAAAAUAAGGCUGAUGGUGUGGGCCCUAAUCCAGUUUGACUAGUGUCAAAUGUGGACAUUCAGAGACACCAGAGCACAUGCAAAAAGAUGGUGCUGUGAGAACAGUGAGAAGGUGACCUGUACAGGCCACGGAGAGGGGCCUCAGAAGAAGUCAAAACUGUCAACACCUUCAUCUUGGACUUCCAGCCUCCAGAGCUGUGAUCAAAUAAAUGUCUGUUGUUUAAGCUGCCUAACUGAUGGGUUUUUGUUAUGGCAGCCUUAGCAAACUCAUACAAUUAGGUGAUGUUUGCCAAGUCUCUCACCCAGACAACUGAAUACAGAGAAUAAAAUAUAUUUAAUGUGUUUGAAAUCACUGGAGAAUAACAAGGCAAUGAAGAUACAAUCCAGAAGAAUGUAAAAUCCAUACUUAUAAACCUGACAUUUGAGUACAUUUUCCUCCAAGGAGUUCCUCUGAUUCUCAAAAGGGGGACUGAGAAGCUUACAAGCUGAGUGAAGCUUUUGGCAACCUUAUUAGGGAAGGAGAGCAAAUAUCAGAGUCUAGGUCUGCCAACAGGAAGAACCCUAAAAGACUAAACCCUGGAAAUAAAGAUAAGCCAGAAAGACGUCAGCAUUCACAGGAGCCCAAGUUCAGUUUAAAAUCCUAUGAGUUCCAUAAAUGGACUACGUUGUUGCAGGAAUUCUACUGCUCCUGGCCACUGCCGAAAGCAAUGUGCAUUCUCUUUGAAGAAAGAACCAUGAAAGUCGGUGGUGCAGUUCCAGUCCAAGCCCAAAGGCCGGAGAACCAAGAGCACUGACCUCCAAGAACCGAAGAGGGAGGGCCCAGCUCAAGCACACAGAGGGAGAACUCUCUCUUCUGCCACCUUUUUGUUCUAUUUGGGUCCUCAAUGGACUAGAUGACGUCCCCCCACAUAAGAGCUAAACGUGUCAAUCGAGCCGUGGUAAUCAGCAUCAGAGAAUGCCCACUGAGCUGCGUGGAACAUUUUGGAGAACAGAUGAAGGUUUCGUCCUUGCCCACCGGGAGCUUAUGAUCUGCAGCUUAAAUUAUUCCCGUUUGUUUGGCUACUCGCUGUUUCUCUGACUUUUGCCAAAUUCAUCUACACGUGAAGCGAAUUUGAAAAAUGGAGCAUCCAGCGAUUUCCAAACAGCUCGGGGAAAAAUCCUGAGCGGGGAACGAUGGACCAGGUGCCAUUGCUGAACCCGCUGUAGCAACCUGCUGUGGACGGCGACACAGUCAAGCCCAGAUUCCCACCCGUCAAAAGGCAAGCAGGUGCUCAGAGCCACCUGUGCUUUUUCUUUCUUUUUUCCUUCCGAUAAUGUAGCCAGCCAAAGUAGCUUUAAAUUAGUAAUGAAAUCAAAAGGUUUGCAACCAAGCACCUCCUAAUAAGGAUGUCUCUCCGAGUCUGCCAUGGUUUGCACUUGCCCCAAGUUCCACACACCCUACUUUGAAAUGCUAGUUCAUACGAAUGUCACAUCUACAAAGAGAAAAAUUCAGGAAAGUGAGUUAUUUUUGGAGUAAAUUUUGCUCAAGAGAAAGGUUAUCGUAUAAAGUCUGCCCGUAUCAAAGGCAAGAUUCAUGUUCAGACUUGGCUUUGCGUUGCGGCUGGUGGUACCAGUUACGAGGACGUCCUACUUCUGUGAAGCCUUUUUUCCUUCCUUGCUUCCUGUAUCUUGCUUGCAGGCAUUCAUCUUACUGUGCCGAGUGCCCUAAUGCUUAGCCUGCAGGAAAUUCUUUCUAUAUUAUGAACUAUUUCAGUCAUCAAAAAAAAUAGGGCAACCUAAUAAACACACAAUCCGGUGCUUAAAACAUCAGUCAUGUUUUAAAAUCAUUACAACAAUAUUUUGCAUCAUCACCCAUUCUUAUUAAAGAAAUAAAUCAGUGUAGUUACAAUUCAAAUCUCCCAUAUGUAUCUCCCUGAUUCUUUCAUUUUAUCCUUCCUCAAAGAUAUGUAUUGUCAUGGCUUUGGUAUUUCAUUAGCUCCACCAAUGCACUGAGGUUUUUACCGUGUAUGAAAGUACAUAUCUCUGAAUAGUAAAUUAAACUCUACAUAUGGC